GACGAACGCUGGCGGCGCGCUUAACACAUGCAAGUCGAACGGAAAGGCCUGCUUUCCCUUGUGGAUUGCGGGUACUCGAGUGGCGAACGGGUGAGUAACACGUGAGUGAUCUGCCCCCAACUUGGGUAUAAGCCUGGGAAACUGGGUCUAAUUCCCGAUAGGACUGCAGGGUGGUGCCUGUGGUGGAAAACGAUUUUCUAGUGGUUGGGGAUGAGCUCGCGGCCUAUCAGCUUGUUGGUGGGGUAAUGGCCUACCAAGGCGGCGACGGGUAGCUGGCCUGAGAGGGUGGACGGCCACAUUGGGACUGAGAUACGGCCCAGACUCCUACGGGAGGCAGCAGUGGGGAAUAUUGCACAAUGGGCGGAAGCCUGAUGCAGCGACGCCGCGUGGGGGAUGACGGCCUUCGGGUUGUAAACUCCUUUCGACCGCGAGGAAGCCACCUGGUUGGAAGGGUGGUGGCGGUAGUGGUAGAAGAAGCACCGGCUAACUACGUG
rnacentral:rRNA from 1 species